GCUACACUCUCCUGCCUUGACCUCUGUCCUUCCCAUCUAGCCUCCUGAUUUAUUCUUCCCCAGCCCACGUCUUCCAUCAGAGGAUCCCACGAAAACAGUGACAAAGAGAAUUCAGAACUACAUCCACUGGUCCAGUAACCUACGAUAAGAAAACUGAGGCUCAGAACAGGAAGUUCAUUGCUCAACAUCAAACAUCCAGGAAAUGGUGGUGCCUGAAUGGGAACUCAGCUUCCAACAUGGCAGUGGACGUGGCCCAUCCCUUGGUGGCCUGACUGGGUCUAUCUUAUGACAGUACGAGGUCCACAGGCCUUAGAUUCAGUCCUGCCUUGAUCCCUGAGCUGUUCCACCAUGCAGUGUGACAGAAAGAACUAGAAAGAACUUGGACUUUCAACCCAGCUUUGAAUCCUAGUUGCCCACCCUGUGACUUCGGGGUCUCUGUUGCCAAGGCUGGAGUGCAGUGGCAUGAUCAUAGUUCACUGCAGCCUCAACCUCCUGGACUCAAGAAUUCCUCCUGCCUCAGCCUCCUGAGUAGCUAGG
rnacentral:antisense_RNA from 1 species